ensembl:lncRNA
GCCCCUGAGUGACUGUGUCGUAGACUCAUUGUAUUGAAGAUUUCCAUGGGUUUCUAUUGCCUCAGAAAGACCCUUGUUUUUGGUGACCUUCAGGCCCAGCCCAUUUCUCCAGCCUUAUCACAUUAAGCCUCUCCCUGUAGUCACAGCUGCAGCUGCUCCAGCCAACUCAUCACACUCCACACAUGAAGCACCCUCUUGCCUCCGUGCCUUUGCUCUGUUUCCUCUUGCUUUGGCUGCUCUCACAGUUGACUAUGUCCUAUCCUCCCUACUGGAUUAUGAGGUGCCUGAGGUCAGAGUCAAAGCAUGGUCACAUCUAUUUGCCCAGUACCUACCAAGGCCCUGGACCAUGAUGGCCAGAAGAUAUACAGGCAGGAGGAAUAAAGACACAGAUGGUAUAUUUGCACUCACAACACUGCCUACCUGGUAACCGUAACUUUGCAGCAAUCCUGUGACUUUAGGAAGAGGUGGUCAUUCCGUACACUUCAAGUACGGCUUAUAAAGGUUUUUCCCAAGGUCACACAGAGAGGCGCCCAAAGCAGAUAUUUCAAUAUAUUCCAAUUUAGCCAAGGGAAGCCAGAACAUGGAUGCUGUUGCCAAGGAAACCACCUCCUUCCUCCCCGUGUGCUGUGCAUACGUGUAUCACUUCAUCUCUCCACUCUCCAAGCAUGUUGGCCUGAUGAUGCAAACACAGCAGGAGUUUCUGGCUCUGCCUCUUGUGGCCAUUUGCUCGUCCCCAUGGAGCUCAGCCAUGCCUGAAGAGCCACAGAUCUUUCUUCUGCGUCACCUGGGAGAGCUGGCUGCUGGAGGGCAAUGAAUGCUUGGCCUGGGCAUUUUGAGGGUUUCCACAAGUGGGAGGAAGAUGACAAUGACUGUGGAAGGAGAGGUUGUCAUGGAAAUGCACCUUGUCCAGGUUGUUGCAACCUGGCCUCUGGGCUGGCUCCACCUGGAUGCGCCUUACACGGGGUCUUGCCUUACCAUUUGUUCAGGGAGGCGAUGGACAGAGAUAGAUGCUUCUUACCCACCAGUCUGCUGCUGCAUCUUUUUCUGUCUGAUGUGAUGAGCAGCUCAGGCUUCUCCUGUCUCCCAGCUUCUGUGAACAUCACAUGAGGUGAUGGGCGCCAAAUGAUGCUGGUGGCAGCUGUUGACUGGGUGGCUCCCUGUCCGACAGCAGAGUGGGCUGGGGGGAAGGGGACUGAUGGUUGGGGAACAUCUUCUCUGUGGCUGGACUGAGAGGCUUAUGUGUGCUGUCUCGUUGAACCUCCCAGUAGUGCUGAAGAAGCUGGAGCGUAUUGUCACCUGCUCAGAGUCCCACACCAGGGGAUGACAGUGCCUGAGCUGGUAGCCAUGCUCCGUCUGCCUUUAAAGCCCAGCCAUGUCUCCCCAUGCAUAAUUGCUCCUGGCCAGUUGGGGAACCUCAGCAAUGGCCAAGAAAUGCCAACACGAGCUCCUACUUAGGUGGCCACAUUGGCAGAGGGACUUGGCCAGCUGGAAGGCACCUACAUUGCCUCUGUCCAAGUGGGCUGGCGUGGGCCCGGGUCAUCAACUACAGGGUGGUGGGAUUCCAGUGCUCUGGGGCCUGCCGGCUGCCUCCAUGACCACCAGGCACCUCCUGGGAGGCCAGUGAUGGGAAAGAGCCCACAGCCCUGCAUGGGCAGUUCUUUCUGCUCUUGUCUUUUCCUCCUCCACCCACCUGCUAAUCUCGCUUGCACAUGAAAGUCUCCCCCCACAAUCUCCACUCCCCUCCCCGAUCCCUUCCCUGCGUUUGUACUUUAUGAUGCGGGACUUGGAGAGAAGACUCAUUAGAGUCAUUAUUACAUGCACAGAAAUAUGUCUUUCAUCUCAUUCACAUUUCAUGUUCCUCCCACUUGAUCUCUUGACGCUUUUUAAUUCCUGAUAUUACAUCACACACACACACACACACACACACACAGUUCUUGUUGGGGUUCAUUCUUUCUACAGAGUUGUCAUCAUUGCUUGCUGUCUGAGGAGUGCUCCUUGUUGUAUAUUUAUUCAUUUCUGAAAAAGAUUUGGGGAUUGACAUUGCCUGAUGCUCCUGACUUUGAUUGUAGGGGUAGGUAGCAUUGUAAUUAGAGGAGAUGUGAGGACAGAGGACCAAAGUCUAGAGCCUUGUCCCCUGUCCCCUUCCUCCCUAGAGGCCAGAUGUCCAUCUGUGAAACAGGCAGAUCCCAUCGCCUAGUUCAAUCCCCACAUCUGGCGUCAAAUGGGCUUUUUGGGGUGUAAGCACUGUUUAACUUAUGGUAAAAGGGAUAUUGGGAGGAGUCGGGGCCAUCCAUAGAACCACAGAAAAGGUUGAAAAAUCAACUCUGAUGGGCAGAGCAGGGUAGCCCGGGAACCUGGGAACUGGGUUCCCUGCUGCCUCUUUAGGCUCCAUGAUGAGGAUGAAAGGAGAUCUAAAGGCUGUCAGUUCCUCCCUUCUCAGCUCAAGGUCCCAAUGCAGGGAGAGAGUAUGGGAUCGGCUCAGCUACCAAGAUAAGAAGGAAGUGUGUUUUGACUGACAGUUUCAUUAAGAUUCCAUCUAAUCAGGGCAAGGGGUUCCCCAAAGUAAGAGGUUGUUUCCAGAAGGAGGCAGUGGAUUCUGAGUAUGUAGAACAACAGACACCAUGACACAGUCCCAACAGUGGAGGUGGUAUGACUGCUGUGCGAAGAGAGGAAGAAGCAGGUCUUUCUGGCUCUAAAUCUGUGACCAAGAGAUAUAUUUUUGGAACUCAGAGAUUGCCUUCUAAUUCGGAACUCAGGGGCUGGCAAACUUUCCCCGGAAAGGGCUAGGUAGUAACUAUUUUGGCUUUCUGGGCCAUAUGGUUUCUGCCACAAGGACUCAACUCUGCCAAGACCUGAAAGCAGCCGUAGGCAAUAUGUAAAUGAGGUGGUUUUGGCCCUGUUUCAAUAAAGUUUUAUUGAAAAAAACCCCAAGUAGCAUGUCCUGGACAUUCAGGUCAAAGUUGUUCUAGUAAGUCACCUUCAUGUCAUGGAGAAUCUCCCUCUCUGCUUUAGUAACCCUUGUAUUUCUGAUUGCGGUUCUUCAACUCGGCUCUGCUUCAGGACACUCAAGGGAGCCUGUCGUGAGCUCAUGAGCACAGAUGCCCAGGACCUGUUCAGACUUCCAGGUCAGAAUCUUCAAGGAUGGGCCCAGGGCCUGCAUGUUUAACCCAUGCCCUAGGUGGUUCUGACUUAUGUAUGCAUUGUCAUGAACUGGUCUAAGUUGUAGUCAGGGAGACAAGAUCAUCCUUCAUGAACCACAGGAGUGACAGAUGAGAUGGGGGUGGGCUUAGGAGCUGAGAGGAGGGAAGCUCCUGAGGGCUAGGGGAGAGCACGUGUGUGCAGGGUGGGCUCAAACUGGCCCUGAAGGAAGUCUGAACUGUCAGAGCACUAACCUGGCUUUUUCUAGCUGGCAGUCUCUUUCCCCAUCCUGUACUCUGCUGUUAAUUAAGAAGGAAGUUUAUUAAAAGCAGGUGCUAAACCUGAGACCUGUGGUGCUCUGCUCUGCAGCGGUCAGGUCUCUGAACAGCUUUGUGUCCUCAUCCUUCUGAAGGGGCCACACCUGUAGCCCAGCCUCACUUCUCUGCCUUCUUCCAAGUCUCCUCUUCCCCUUUCAUUUGUGCUUUGCUCCCCAAAGACCUGGUUUCUCACAACACCUCUUCUCCUUUGCCCCAGAAAACAGCCACCCAUGGCUCUUUCUGAGCGUGACCAUGUUCUGUCAAAUUCAGCUCCUUCUUGCCAUAAUCAUUAAUAGGAUUAGGAGCCUGGUGAGUCGUUCUCUCCCAUCUUGCUCCUCUUUCCAUGUUUUCAUCCCCACCAAAUACCAUCCCCUAAAACCUUUGGGGUAUCUUCUGU